rnacentral:lncRNA from 1 species
AAAAAAGUUGCCGUGGACGAACCGACCUUCAACCGGUCCCCGAGCGCUGGCUGCAGUCGGGAGGGUGCGACGGAACAGCAGGCUCAGGGCGGGCGCGCCCAAUGCGGUCCAACGCCGCGCGCCACUUUGGAUCUCGGAGGACAUCGCACCGGGCGGUCCGGCCAGUCAUGUGGGGAUCAAACAAUUGUUCCGAGUCGGUGACACAAAAGUGAUCGCACAGGGCCUGCUCCGUGGACUCGUCGCCCCACCCGACACGGUCAGGGUCGAUCCAAACAGACGAACAUUCAAAACACAGGAGGACAAUCUCGUUGUUGGGCACGCUGUAAAAGGCACGGUCCCUCGCGUCGCAAAUAGGGCACCGGACAGCAGAGGCCAUCAACCGCGGGAAGAGAAAAGGGCUUGCGCUUUUCGGCGGUGACUGCAGGCGGUCCGAUAAUGCGGUGCAGCGUGUGAUCGCGAGUUGGCAGGAAAGAGAUGUUUUUGCACAAGGACACGACCGGUACUGCCACGGCGGCCCGUCCCUCGGGUUCCUGUUGCUGUGGACCUGUGCGGCGCUGUGUAGAAAAAAAAAAGGUUUGUCCCGUG